rnacentral:lncRNA from 11 species
GAAAGAUGUUUGCAGCAUAAGCCUUUGUAGAAGGGUGCAUCUGCACUUCAGAAUUAAUGCAGUCUGACACCAAUUUGACCACCAUGGCUCAAAGCUCAAUGCACAAUGGAUGAAGGCAUUCUUCAAAAAUAGGUGAAAACAAAGCUAAAUCUGGAGGAAAUUCAAGUGGAAACUAUUAUUGACCCAAAUCUAACUUCCUUAAGAAAGUGUGGUUCCUGUUAACAUCACCAUUACUAUUUAUGCUGCUAUUAUCCUGACACAUAGGACGUCCUCCACCAAAGAUCAGAAACAAUACAGCCUCAUCUUCUCCUUUCUCUCUUGAUGAGUUUCGUGAACACAAACUGCUUUUCUACUCUGGAUUCAGUUUGCACCCAUUGAAGACCCAGAAAUGUCCUAGAGACAUGUUCUCUCAAGAAAUCCCUGUGUCCUCCAUGAUGACCAGAGGAAGAUGACCAUAGAAUCACAGGGGAUGAUCUAGAAAUUCGUAUAAAGGACAUUUUCAAUCUAAUUUUUGAGUAAUUAAUUUGUAAAUUGCAUUUGAUAUCUGCUGAGAUUUGGUUCCAGGAACCUCCCCCCCACCCCCAAGAUCCCAAAUUCCUUAAAAGCUCCAAUCUCAUUAUAUACAAUUGUGUAGUAAAAUGGUGUCCUUUAUAUAAAAUGUCAAAAUUAAGGUUUACUUUUUGGGGUGUUUGAAAACAUAUUUUUAGGCUAUGGGCAGUUGGAUACAUGGAUGCUGAAUCUAUGGAUAUGGAGAGCUGACUGUGCAAUCAAACCUCCACAUUUGUUUGGGGUUAAAUAGGGGGUCAAAACCCCAGCCAAAGUGUGUGUGGGUGGGUGUGAUUUUUUUUUUUUAACAAACUCACUUUUUAAAACCUGAGACAACUCCUUUCCGGGGAUUUUUAAAUUAUGUAACUUUGAAUUCCUUGUUUAUGCUGGACUUGGUCUUCAUGAAAGU